AAAGGAAUAGACGGGGGCCCGCACAAGCGGAGGAACAUGUGGUUUAAUUCGAUGAUACGCGAGGAACCUUACCCGGGUUUGAAUUGCUGAAUUUGCAUUUGGAGACAUUUGCUUCCCUUUUGGGUUUCAGUGAAGGUGCUGCAUGGUUGUCGUCAGCUCGUGCCGUGAGGUGUCGGCUUAAGUGCCAUAACGAGCGCAACCCUUGCCGUUAGUUGCCAUCGGGUCAUGCCGGGCACUCUAUUGGGACUGCCAUCGUAAGAUGUGAGGAAGGUGGGGAUGACGUCAAAUCAGCACGGCCCUUAUGUCCGGGGCGACACACGUGUUACAAUGGGGGGUACAGCGGGUUGCUACCUGGUGACAGGGUGCUAAUCUUUAAAACCUCUCUCAGUUCGGAUCGGAGUCUGAAACUCGACUCCGUGAAGCUGGAUUCGCUAGUAAUCGCGCAUCAGCCACGGCGCGGUGAAUACGUUCCCGGGCCUUGUACACACCGCCCGU
rnacentral:rRNA from 1 species